rnacentral:tRNA from 1 species
GCGAGAGUGGCGGAAUUGGCAUACGCGCCAGAUUUAGGAUCUGGUCCCGAAAGGGGCGGGGGUUCGAAUCCCCCCUCUCGCACCA